UCAGUCGGUCAGUCAGGCAUCACCUAAUUCAACAUGUAACAGUCAGGUCUUUUUCUGUGUGUGUUAUCAUUACCAUAUAAGACACCAUCCUCGAGAGUGAAUGAAGUAAGCAAGCACACUGACAUGAUACUACAGUGUUUAAUGUAGCUACACACACCACUGGAAUAGCAGAUGACUCUCCUCCUCUUUCACACUAACACCAACCACUUCUUCAACAUUUCUCCAUGAGCUUCAGGUCCAUAUAUAUAUUCUUAAACGUAUCUGGCUCCCUUACAACUGUUUCCCAAGGCCACAGAGAAGAUUAACCAGGUUUUCAUGGGUGUUUUUCCUGUUCACCGUGCAGAGGUUGGGUUAAAAUAUUACCAACAUCACAACAGUCCAUGAAAAUCCCAGUAACUUCUAUGAGAGGCUUUUGAAACUGGCCACAGAGAAGAUUAUCAGGGUUUUCAUGGGUGUUUUUCCCAUUCGAGGUGCAGAAGAUGAGUUAAAAUAUCACCAGCGUCACAAAACAGUCCAUGAAAAUCCCAGUAACUUCUAUGAGAGGCUUUUGAAACAGGCCACAGAGAAGAUUAACAGUGUUUUCAUGGGUGUUUUUCUCAUUCAAGGUGCAGAAGAUGGGUUAAACUAUCACUAUGAUCACAAAACAGUCCAUGAAAACCCAGCAACUUCCACAAGGGGCCUUUAAAGCGAGCAAGGUGGGAUGCCGAUAAGUUUAAAAAUACGGACAUAGUUAGACUCAGCUAUGAAAUCAGUUUGGAUGGGGUCCGUUUGAGGAGUCCCCUGACCAUAGCACUACCAUAUCUUACUUAAUGUAUACAGAAUAUUUGAUUAAGUAGCUGAUAUAAGAAAGAGAGAGAGUGAUGUUUUGAGAGUGAUUUUCAGGCCAUAGCACUAUCAGGUCUUACUUAAUGUAUACCAAAUAUUUGAUACAUGAUUUCACAUAGUAAGUAGCUGAUUUAAGAGAGAGAGAGUGAUGAUUCGAGGGUGAUUUUCAGGCCCCAUCCAAACUGAUUUCACAUUUGCGUCAUGCUAUAGCAAGAUCACUUUUGUACACUAUUCCAUCACUAAUUUUAAGACACAGUGGUUGGAUUCUGUCAGGAUAAGCAGUUUAUUUCCACCUUUCUCUUACAUAACAACUCGUACAUUCCGUCUUAAUAUUCUUCCUCAACCCAAACUGACCAUAGCGAGAUUAUUUUUGUACACUGUUCCAUCACUAAUUUUAAGACACAGCACUUGGUUUCUUGUCAGGCUAAGCAGUUUAUUUCCACCUUUCUCUUACAUAACAACUCGUACAGUCCGUCUUAAUAUUCUUCCUCAACCCAAACUGACCAUAACGAGAUUAUUUUUGUACAAAGUUCCAUCAUUGCUUUAAGACACAGCACACCUUUCUCUUAUAAAACAACACAUUCCAUCUAUAUAUUUCUCCUCUAUUUGUUGAUUUUGCACAGAACAUACCAUUUCUGACCUUUACUAAUACCAGUUUAUGAUCACCUUUCUCUUAUAAAACAAUAUAGACAUUCUAUCUAAAUAUUUCUCCUCAUUUUAUUAAGAUUUUGUACAGCACAUGCUUUUAACAACUGCUCACAACAUCAGUUCAAUACCAUCUUCCUCUUGCAUAUAUAAAUCAAAACAUUCCAUCUAAAUACUUCUCUGUAGUUUACCAAGAUUCUGCACAACACAUGCCCUUUACCAAUUGCUUACAACAUCAGUUCAAUACCAUCUUCCUCUUACGUAUAUAAAACUAAACAUAUCCACUCUAAAUAUUCCUCAAUUAUUUACCAAGAUUCUGUACAUCACACACCUUUUUACCAACUGCUAACAAUACCAGUUUAAUACCACCUUCCUCUUAUAUAAAACAACACAUCCACUCUAAAUAUUUCUCCAUAAUUCAUCAAGAUUUUGUACAACACACGCCUUUGCCAACUACUUACAACACGCACCACCUUUCUUUCUCUUAUAAAACAACGCCUUCCAUCUAAAUAUUCCUCAAUUUACCAAGAUUCUGUACAACACACCCCAUUGCCGACAGCUUACAACACAUCCACGUACGUUAAGUUUGCUAUAAAAUCAAUAGAAAUGCUAUACAAAUAUAUAUAUAUAAUUUACCUUGCCCUAGACGGUAUGAUACAAUAUUAUACUGUAGUGAAAAUACUCUUGAUACAACGGGUCAUAAUUCAGAUACAUGGAACUGAUAUAUUACUGAUGGCAACCUUUACGAUUUAGUUGGUUUAUUUGCACACACCAACACGACAGUCACCAUUUAUACUCAUUCAGAUAUUAUACAUUUUAAAACAAUUUCUUACAAGCUAGAUCAAAGGUGGUAAGGUUGACAUUCUGUGACGGUACCAAACUCUCACACUAUUUCUAAAGGCCAAAUGAGAGGUCAACUGUAUCUUCAAGAGUGUUUUUCUGAGUUCGUGGUACAGAAGCCUUGUCACACUCCCACCAGGGUCAGAAAACUACCCCUGGAAAGACCCAUGACUCCUGUGAAAGCCAUGUCAAAUGUGUGAGCUUGCACUUUGAAAUGUUUAACCCAGUAGCAGCGACGGGCCAAAUUUGUGGCUUUACCGUGUAGCAGUGACGGGCCAAAUUUGUGGCUUUACCGUGUAGCAGAGACGGGCCAAAUUUGUGGCUUUACCAUGUAGCAGUGACGGGCCAAAUUUGUGGCUUUACCAUGUAGCAGCGACGGGCCAAAUUUGUGCCAUGAUAUAAACCCCCCAAAAUAGAUGAUGCAUAAACUGAUCACAAGUGCUUUGAUAUAUAUUAUGAAAUGGUUUGUGUAAGUGAUGAUUUUUUCUAAUUUUUCUCGCUUAGAGGGACCAUUAAGAAACAUGAUCCCCGCUGCUACCACGUUAAUGAUAUGGCCCUGAUGAAACUUCAAAAUGAGAUACGAUUUCAAGCUGAGUAUAAAAGGUAACUGUCCUGGUGUUUAUGAACGGAAGAACACACCUUAGUAAUCUUGAGCACCUGUAUUUAUUUAUAUGAACACCUCCAAAAGAUCUUUCUAUCAUCUAUGUUGUAACUGAUUCUCCCUUACAUUGCCUAUCCUGUAACCAUCUAACCUUCCAUUCCCCCAUCUAUUCUCUAUACAGUAACCUUCUGUUCUCCCUAUUCCCUUGAGGUGGAAUAACUCGCAAUAUAUAAAAAUACUAAAUCUACCUUAUCAAGUAUGAAUGUUUGUGCUGAGCCAUUGCUGUGCACAGACUAACGGGUGAGACAGAGGGAGGAAGAUGCAAUGGUAGAUAACAGCUGGUAUAGAGAUGUCACCUUAUGAAAGAACUACUGAGCCUUCUUUUACCAUGUGUGGUGAGCUGUUACAAUUAGGAAAGACAGUAACAAAAUAACAAUUGAGAUAGAAGGAGGAAAAUACGAGGGAGGAUAACU